GCAUGCUUACACAUGCAAGUCGCACGGCCGGGGGGCGACUUCCGGCAGUGGCGGACGGGUGAGUAACGCGUAGGGAUUUAUCCAUGGGUGGGGGACAACCGCGGGAAACUGCGGCUAAUACCGCAUGACACCUGAGGGUCAAAGGCUUUGGGGCAACCUGGGGUCGCCUGUGGAGGAGCCUGCGUCCGAUUAGCUUGUUGGUGGGGUAAAGGCCUACCAAGGCGAUGAUCGGUAGCUGGUCUGAGAGGAUGAUCAGCCACACUGGGACUGAGACACGGCCCAGACUCCUACGGGAGGCAGCAGUGGGGAAUAUUGGACAAUGGGCGCAAGCCUGAUCCAGCAAUGCCGCGUGGGUGAAGAAGGUUUUCGGAUUGUAAAGCCCUUUCGGCGGGGACGAUGAUGACGGUACCUGCAGAAGAAGCUCCGGCUAACUUCGUGCCAGCAGCCGCGGUAAUACGAAGGGGGCUAGCGUUGCUCGGAAUGACUGGGCGUAAAGGGCGCGUAGGCGGCCUGGACAGUCGGGUGUGAAAUUCCUGGGCUCAACCUGGGGGCUGCAUUCGAGACGUUUGGGCUGGAGUGGGGAAGAGGGUCGUGGAAUUCCCAGUGUAGAGGUGAAAUUCGUAGAUAUUGGGAAGAACACCGGU
rnacentral:rRNA from 1 species